GCACAAGGUAACUCUCACAGCAACGAAGCAACGAAUGUUUGGAGCUUCAGCUGCCAGGUUACCAAAAGCAACAGCAGGCAUUCCAUGUGAAUGCAGAAUGCUCUCUGAGUUUGACUUGACAACUGAAGCAGAAAUGGAAAACAACAAUAGGAGGAAUCAGAAUGGUAUCAAAAGAAAAGCCAUGGGAUGGAAAGAAAUUAAUUGAUACAAAGAAAUAUUUGUCAUCUAGCAAUGGAAUCAGUUUAUUUAAACCCCAUGUUAUUCAUCCAGCAUCUUGGAGAAUUUCAAUUGAUCAAGACUGUCAAAAAACUUACCUAAAAGCUCACAAAUUGAAAGGAAAGAGUUAUAAUGAAGAAAGAACAGGUGAAUUCAAGCUAGCUAGAUCAAAAAUGAAUGGACAUCGGCUUGUGUUAAGUAUCAAUUACCUUUUGCAGUGCAGCAAAUAAUUCCUGAGCACUGGAGAAUGCCGCAAAUACUCCCAUUAAGUUUACUAAGAUUGCUUCCAUCAAACACAUACCAGCCUUUGGAGACAUGAGCAUCUUACAUAUGGUUCUUUUUUCCUUAGUAUAGUACUAAAAUGUUUGUUCUGAAAACUCUUCUCAUCUAAUCUUGAAGCUCAAAGUUCUAUCUUAGUCAAUUGACAAGAAUCCUUUUAAACCAGCAUGCUCAUAUGCAAUACUGAUGUAAUCACAUUAACUUAGAAGUCCAUGCUGAUCUCAUAGGCACUUAAGCAGGCAUUCAGCUUCAUGUGGUGCACCUGCAGACCCAUUGUGUGAGAUGCCAACGAGUGAAAGCGGGCAGAUGAUUCUUGCUGUACUCUUGCUACUUUGCCAAGCUGUUGGGGCAAAUCUGAGAAGACAGCACACAGCCCCUCAAGGAGGCCUUUCUACAUCUGGGAGAAGAUAGCACUAUUCAUACAUCCUAGAAAGCUGCACCAUCUCAGGCUUCACCCCUAAACUUGGAUGUGUGCUUAAUGAAGCCUGAAAGGAACUGUUACUCAACUUCAUGAGCAGGAUCUACAUGAGGAAUACAAGAACAAAAAGCCACAUGGACAGCUCAGGUUUUCAAGUGUAUGUCUUAAGACUGGCUACACAUUUGGAAUUCCUUGGCAUCACUUUUAACUAAUUUACUAACUUUUGACUGUUGACGUGAAUUAGGCAUAAGCAUUAAUUGUCUGUAUUAUCCAACAGUGUCCAUAUGUUUUAUGUUCCAAAAUUCAUUUGUUGUUUUUUUUACCACAAGGUGGUGACCCCUCUGGAUGCAGCAGACCAGUCAGAGAUAAAUAAGAGAAGCAGACUAUGU
rnacentral:lncRNA from 11 species